rnacentral:rRNA from 1 species
AGAACGAACGCUGGCGGCAUGCCUAACACAUGCAAGUCGAACGAGACCUUCGGGUCUAGUGGCGCACGGGUGCGUAACGCGUGGGAAUCUGCCCUUGGGUUCGGGAUAACAGUUGGAAACGACUGCUAAUACCGAAUGAUAUCUUCGGAUCAAAGAUUUAUCGCCCAGGGAUGAGCCCGCGUAGGAUUAGCUUGUUGGUGAGGUAAAAGCUCACCAAGGCGACGAUCCUUAGCUGGUCUGAGGAGGAUGAUCAGCCACACGUGGGACUGAGACACCGGCCCAG